rnacentral:rRNA from 1 species
CAAGCGGUGGAGGAUGUGGUUUAAUUCGAUGCAACGCGAAGAACCUUACCAAGGCUUGACAUCCUGCGAAUCCUUCAGAGAUGGAGGAGUGCCUUCGGGAGCGCAGAGACAGGUGGUGCAUGGCUGUCGUCAGCUCGUGUCGUGAGAUGUUGGGUUAAGUCCCGCAACGAGCGCAACCCUCGUUCUUAGUUGCCAGCAUUAAGUUGGGCACUCUGGGGAGACUGCCGUGGACAACACGGAGGAAGGUGGGGACGACGUCAAGUCAUCAUGCCCCUUACGCCCUGGGCUACACACGUCCUACAAUGGCCGGAUAUAGAGGGCAGCGAAGCCGCGAGGUGGAGCGAAUCCCAGAAAGCCGGUCUCAGUUCGGAUUGCAGGCUGCAACUCGCCUGCAUGAAGUCGGAAUCGCUAGUAAACGCAGAUCAGCAUGCUGCGUUGAAUACGUUCCCGGGCCUUGUACACACCGCCCGUCACACCACGAAAGUUUGUUCAACCCGAAGUCGGUGAGCUAACCCUUAUGGGAGGCAGCUGCCUAAGGUGGGGCAAAUGA